GAUGAACGCUGGCGGCGUGCCUAAUACAUGCAAGUCGAGCGAACGGACGAGAAGCUUGCUUCUCUGAUGUUAGCGGCGGACGGGUGAGUAACACGUGGAUAACCUGCCUAUAAGACUGGGAUAACUUCGGGAAACCGGAGCUAAUACCGGAUGAUAUUUUGAACCGCAUGGUUCAAAAGUGAAAGACGGUCUUGCUGUCACUUAUAGAUGGAUCCGCGCUGCAUUAGCUAGUUGGUAAGGUAACGGCUUACCAAGGCAACGAUGCAUAGCCGACCUGAGAGGGUGAUCGGCCACACUGGAACUGAGACACGGUCCAGACUCCUACGGGAGGCAGCAGUAGGGAAUCUUCCGCAAAGGGCGAAAGCCUGACGGAGCAACGCCGCGUGAGUGAUGAAGGUCUUCGGAUCGUAAAACUCUGUUAUUAGGGAAGAACAUAUGUGUAAGUAACUGUGCACAUCUUGACGGUACCUAAUCAGAAAGCCACGGCUAACUACGUG
rnacentral:rRNA from 1 species